AUAUAUAUAUAUAUAUAUAUAUAUAUAUAUAUAUAAGUAGAGGCAAUGUCAUUGAAUUGUGAAUUUUAAGUGAACAGAUAUGAUAAUCAUUGGCAUAAAACAUGGACUCCAGACAGGAAGCCCCACACAGGAAGAUGGGAAAUGGGAAAGGGGGAUUGUAUACACGACAAUGAACGAAUUCAGCAUUUCAUCAGAUGGAUACAGACAAACGAAGACAGACCGAAAACCAACUAUUGUAUGAUCAUUGUGAGAUCACUUCACAAUGACGACCAGCAACUGGUUGUGUGGAAGCCCUUAAACACAGGCAGAAUGUGUUUAA